rnacentral:rRNA from 1 species
UUGGAGGGCAAGUCUGGUGCCAGCAGCCGCGGUAAUUCCAGCUCCAAUAGCGUAUAUUAAAGUUGUUGCAGUUAAAAAGCUCGUAGUUGAAUUUCGGGGUUCUACCGUUGGUCAGGCAAUAGUCUGUACUGGCGUGUGGAAUUUCUACCUUCUGGGGAACCAUCAUGUUAUUUAUUUAGCGUGGUGGGAAACCAGGACCUUUACCUUGAAAAAAUUAGAGUGUUCAAAGCAGGCUUACGUCUGAAUACAUUAGCAUGGAAUAAUAAAAUAGGACGGUGGUCCCGUUUUGUUGGUUUCUGAAUCACCGUAAUGAUUAAUAGGGAUAGUUGGGGGCAUUAGUAUUCAAUUGUCAGAGGUGAAAUUCUUGGAUUUAUUGAAGACUAACUUCUGCGAAAGCAUUUGCCAAGGAUGUUUUCAUUAAUCAAGAACGAAAGUUAGGGGAUCGAAGACGAUCAGAUACCGUCGUAGUCUUAACCAUAAACUAUGCCGACUAGGGAUCGGACGAUGUUAAUUUUUCUUGACUCGUUCGGCGCCUUACGGGAAAC